GAAGGGACCUAGCGUAGUUCGGAAUUACUGGGCUUAAAGAGCUCGUAGGUGGUUAAGAAAGUUGGUGGUGAAAGCCCAAGGCUUAACUUGGAACUGCCACCAAAACUUUUUGACUAGAGUAUGAUAGAGGUAAGUGGAAUUUCUAGUGUAGAGGUGAAAUUCGUAGAUAUUAGAAAGAACACCAAUUGCGAAGGCAACUUUCUGGAUCAUUACUGACACUGAGGAGCGAAAGCAUGGGUAGCGAAGAGGAUUAGAUACCCUCGUAGUCCAUGCCGUAAACGAUGUGUGCUAGACGUUGGAAAUUUAUUUUUCAGUGUCGCAGCGAAAGCGUUAAGCACACCGCCUGGGGAGUACGACCGCAAGGUUAAAACUCAAAUGAAUUGACGGGGACCCGCACAAGCAGUGGAGCAUGUGGUUUAAUUCGAAGAUACGCGCAGAACCUUACCAACACUUGACAUGUUCGUCGCGAACUCAAGAGAUUGAGUUUUCAUUUAGUUGGACGAAACACAGGUGCUGCAUGGCUGUCGUCAGCUCGUGUCGUGAGAUGUUGGGUUAAGUCCCGCAACGAGCGCAGCCCUUACUUUUAGUUGCCACCAUUUAGUUGAGCACUCUAAAAGAACUGCCAGUGAUAAGCUGGAGGAAGGCGGGGAUGACGUCAAGUCCUCAUGGCCCUUACGUGUUGGGCUACACACGUGCUACAAUGGCACUUACAAUGAGAUGCAAAGAGGCGACUCCUAGCCAAUCUCAAAAAUGUGCCUCAGUUCGGAUUGUACUCUGCAACUCGAGUACAUGAAGCUGGAAUUGCUAGUAAUCGCGGAUCAGCGCGCCGCGGUGAAUACGUUCCCGGGUCUU
rnacentral:rRNA from 1 species